CCUUCGAUAGCUCAGUUGGUAGAGCGGAGGACUGUAGAUCCUUAGGGCGCUGGUUCAAAUCCGGCUCGAAGGGA
rnacentral:tRNA from 1 species